ACAGAAAGAGAUCUUUCAACAUUCUUCCUUCCUUUAAUCAACCCUUGGAGUGUAGUUCGCAACCCUUGUGCUUAGGCACAUGCCCUGUGGAAUUCUUUAUAAACACCGAUGCCAUGCCUCCCCUGAUCAGCCACUCGACUCGAUGGGUCAGACUGCAUUCUGUGAAUGCAGAGACCAUUCCGAGAUCAAACCGAGGAGGGAAACGACUUAUGGAAAGGCCAGAAGCAGAAUUCCCUUGAACAAAAAUACCCAGUAUGAAGCUGAAGCUUCCAUCUCGGGUUCCUGGGGAGUAGCCUCCAAACCCUGGAAUUUCCUGAGUGACAGGGGUGUCUUUGUUACUCACCACGGGCACCGCCGGGACUACACCUGAGUUCAGAAUGGGAGCGGAGCACCGGGAAGACUGACCUCGACCGUGGGAUUGGAGCCUGACCUCUGGGGAAGGCUGGGGGCGGGGUGCUGGGGACUGAGUUCGGUCGUGUGGACAACGACCCUGUGAAUCACGUCCACGUAAAGAUACCCCAAUAAGAACCCUGGGCCCUGAAGCUCGGGCGAACUCCCUGCGGGUGACACACAUCGAUGCCCAGGAUGGAACUGUGCCCUGAGCACAGAGGAGCUUCAGGUUUGGGACCCUGCCCGCCCUCUCCCUACAUGUCUCUUCAUUUGGCUGGUCCUAAUUUGUAUCAUGAAACUGUAACCGUAAUAUAGUGCCUCCCGAGUUCUGUGAGUCAUCCUGGUUAAUCAUCAAACCUGUGGGAACCCCCGCAUUGGUGGCCAGUUGGUCAGAGCCGCGGGUGGCCUGGGAACCCCCAAGCCCCGCGGCUGGUCUGGUGUCUGGAGUGAGGGCGGCCGUGAGGGGGACAGCGCCCUCCACUGGGGAAGGUCGUUAAUGCCAGGCGGCCCACGCCAGACUCGCGCUGCGGGAGGAGAGCCAGGCUCCCACUGGACUGGACACGAACUGCGGUAGCGCGAUCCCAGCGAAACGCGGAGGGAUAGCUUACGAGGAGCUUCUCAACCGACUGGACUCCAAACGCCCACCUGGCAGCGGCCCCUGCCCCCUGGAGCCGCCCACCUAUGCCGCCACUCCAGGGUCACAGGUGGCCAAGUCUGGGCCCUGUCAUCAGCUCAAGGUCCUCAGUUCUGUUACUGUACGUUGGGAAAAUAUACAAAUCUGCCUUUGACAAGUAUUUUAGCUAAUGUGAAUGUUGCCGUUUCUUUCCCUACACUAAUAACAACUUAAUUCACAAAAAUACGACAUCUGAAACUUGUACUUUCAGAGAUGUAUACUUUGUGUUUCGGGGAGGAAAAAGAACGAUUACC